CCCCUAGAUGUUCUGGGCCGCACGCGCGCUACACUGAACGGAUCAGCGCGUUUUCCCUUCCCGAGAGGGACGGGUAACCUGCUGAACCCCGUUCGUGGUAGGGAUCGGGGCUUGCAAUUAUUCCCCGUGAACCAGGAAUGCCCAGUAAGUGCAAGUCAUAAGCUUGCGUUGAUUACGUCCCUGCCCUUUGUACACACCGCCCGUCGCUACUACCGAUUGAACGUUUUAGUGAGGUACUCGGACUGAGCCUCAGAAGAUUCACGUCUUUUGUGCUGCUCGGGAAGAUUCCCAAACUUGAGCGUUUAGAGGAAGUAAAAGUCGUAACA
rnacentral:rRNA from 1 species